rnacentral:rRNA from 1 species
GACGAACGCUGGCGGCGUGCCUAAUACAUGCAAGUAGAACGCUGAAGCUUGGUGCUUGCACCGAGCGGAUGAGUUGCGAACGGGUGAGUAACGCGUAGGUAACCUGCCUGGUAGCGGGGGAUAACUAUUGGAAACGAUAGCUAAUACCGCAUAAGAGUAGAUGUUGCAUGACAUUUGCUUAAAAGGUGCAAUUGCAUCACUACCAGAUGGACCUGCGUUGUAUUAGCUAGUUGGUGAGGUAACGGCUAACCAAGGCAACGAUACAUAGCCGACCUGAGAGGGUGAUCGGCCACACUGGGACUGAGACACGGCCCAGACUCCUACGGGAGGCAGCAGGAGGGAAUCUUCGGCAAUGGACGGAAGUCUGACCGAGCAACGCCGCGUGAGUGAAGAAGGUUUUCGGAUCGUAAAGCUCUGUUGUAAGAGAAGAACGAGUGUGAGAGUGGAAAGUUCACACUGUGACGGUAUCUUACCAGAAAGGGACGGCUAACUACGUG